GCCGCCUUAGCUCAGUCGGUUAGAGCGACGCACUCGUAAUGCGUAGGUCAUCGGUUCGAUUCCGAUAGGCGGCU
rnacentral:tRNA from 1 species